UUCCCCAGUAUCUCCUCCUGUCUCUUUCUCUCUGACAUAGGAGACAGUAGCCAACUUCAACUGAAGAAGAGAGCCCUUGAUCCAGACAGGGACAUUGAACAUGGAUUUAAUGAAGACAUAUUCUUGUCUUUCUGCUGACGAGGGCAACGCAAUGAAACUUUAAGACAAGGAUUAUACAGAAAUUGCAUUAUGAAGUAUUUCCAGAGCCUAUAUUUUUAAUCCAACAUCACCUGUGAGC